GGAGGGUGCGAGCGUUGUCCGGAAUCACUGGGCGUAAAGGGCGCGUAGGCGGCGCAGUAAGUAGGGGGUGAAAUCUCACGGCUCAACCGUGAAACGGCCUCCUAAACUGCUGUGCUUGAGCACGGUAGAGGCAGAUGGAAUUCCCGGUGUAGUGGUGGAAUGCGUAGAUAUCGGGAAGAACACCAGUGGCGAAGGCGGUCUGCUGGGCCGUUGCUGACGCUGAGGCGCGACAGCGUGGGGGAGCAAACAGGAUUAGAUACCCUGGUAGUCCGCGCCGUAAACGAUGGGUACUAGGCGUCGGGGGGGAGCGACCCCCCCUUCGGUGCCGUCGCUAACGCAGUAAGUACCCCGCCUGGGGGAGUACGGCCCGCAAGGCUG
rnacentral:rRNA from 1 species